GCCCGGGUGGCGAAAUCGGCAGACGCGACGGACUCAAAAUCCGUUGGCCGCAAGGCCGUGAGAGUUCGACCCUCUCCCCGGGCA
rnacentral:tRNA from 1 species